AGCUAUGGAAAUGUCGAUGUCAAUCCUCGGAUUCUGGAAAUUACCGAUGGAAUAGACGAAAGUUGUUCGGCUGAUUCGGUUACAUCUUCGUCGAAGAAGAGAACUUCUCGAAAGAGUGGCGACUCCGCGAAUAGUCAUAAUAUGAUUACAAGGAAGAAGAUCAAAACCGAAAAACCAACAUAGUAUUGUUUUAUUAUUUACUGUGGUAUUCAAACAUUCGAUGUUUCCG
rnacentral:lncRNA from 1 species